UGAGGACCAGGGAGGGUAAACACUGCUUUAUAUGAACUAGUUCUAAACCAGUGCUGACUAAAGUCAGUCCUCGAGGGCUGGUAUCCUGCAUCUGUUAGUUCUUUCCCUGGUUCAGCACACCUGAAUCAAAUGAUGGUUCAUUAGCAGGCCUCUGCAGAACUGUGUGACAUGCUGAGAAGGACAUUGGAGCAGAGACAUCUGGCACCGGACACCACCCCAUGAAGACUGGAGCAUGUUCUGCACUCUGUUUAGCCAGCCUGAUUUCAAAUCCAAAGACCUUGGCCACAGCAAGCAGCCAACAAGUCGGCACGACCUUCCAGCUGAAACAGCUGCUGUUUGUGCCAAGAUUUCCUUAUCAGCCAAGCCAAGAGACAUGAAUGUGGAAAAUGCAGGAGCAGAGAAGUCCAGCUAGUUCUGAUUCACAUUUCCCCUACCAGUUUUUUUCAGCUUUAACAUGCAUCGCCUCCAAACACCCUGCAGAUGUUUUAAGAAACCACACUCAGACAGGAAUUCUCCGUACUUGUCACCGCAGCCAAUGACGCCUUUUCCAGAUGUGUGUGAAUAACCCCUGAGCCCAACAUGAGCUCCCAGAACAUCUGUAAAACUCAGCUCUUCCCUGUGGGGCGUCACCCUCCACUCCUCCCUCACUUUUCUAAAUGUUUCUGUCCAACCUCCAUCUCUUUCUUUUUUCUAGCCGCUCUGAGUCGAUGUGGGGAGAGCAGUGGAAAGUUAAUAAGUCUCGGUGGAUUGAAAAUCAGUCAGUGAAACUAAGAUGCUCCCAUUUUAAUGUUGGGACAUCUGGAUGGUCAUGUUUUUCUCAAGGUUUUUCACAUAAAGACAGAAUUAAACAAAAACCAAGACAGUUAAAAGAGGUAAAUAUUGUGAGUAUUGUAUAAAAGGUUAAAACCAGCUUCUUUGUUCUGCUUCCAGGAAGCCAGGGUUUGUUUUGUUUUAAGGUGGUGUUUGCAAUCUUUUUAGGUGAUCUUGAUCAAAACUCCUCCAAGCUUCCAGUCAGACCAUGAGAGCGUAAUGCCCUAAAACAUGAAAUCAACAAGUUUCAAAUAAAAUAAGUCUCCAGCCUGAAAAAGCUACUUAUGGCAAAUGAACAGUAUCUAUAGGUCAACUUCUUAAGAAAAAUAAAGAGAUGCAUCAUCCUUCAGUUGACAAUUUAUAGUAGGCCAAGUUUUAUCUAAUUGAAGGAAAGGAAAUAACUGUGCUGCCACUAAAAUCUUGAUUUCCAUUAGUCAAGGAUUUCUGAAUUUAUCUAGAAUUUUUACUGAUGUCAGACCUCUGACUUGCAAGUCUAGGUCCUUGAGCAGCGCUUGAAAGUUGCAGGAAUAAACUGUUUAUUUGCA